rnacentral:rRNA from 1 species
AUGAGCCAGCUUGUCAUCAGAGUUGGUAAUUCCUGGAAUGAACAAUUGGUCAGACGAUUCCUCCGUCCGCAUGGUGCGGGUAUCAUCGUUAAUAUGAGUGCACCUGAUGAUUCAAAGGGGGAUUUUACUGCCUGGCAUUAUGAAAGAAAUGGCCUUUUUACCAUGAUACUGAAACUAGAUUUCGUCCUUGAAUCAAAUGGAGAAAGCAUUGCGGGCUGCGUCGCCUGGCAGUGCAAGUCCAUUGCUGGUGGAAUGAACACUGUCUUUCUGUUUGACAGUGCAGAGCAUCAACCAUUAUCUCUGUUGUGUGCUACUACUUGCCUCGCUACGCUCCACCCACGACCCAGACUUCUCUCGCUAGGCCCACCUCCCCCCUACUGCGUCCUUCCCCGCGCAACGGAUCGAGGCCCAAUUUGGCCCACCUCCCCCCUCCUGCACGUGACUUACCACCCAAACCCUACUUUCUUACCUCCAUCGCAAGAAACAGCCACCUGCCCCGAUCAGUUCUCUCCUCUCUCCCCGACGCGCCACCAUCGCCGGCAACAUCGACGCCAGAUCAGAUCCACCAAAAAAAAGGGAAACCAUGAAAAAACACCACCAAAACACAAGGAUUUGAGGGAGGGCCCCGGUUUACCACAAGAACAUCACAGGGGUUAUCAUCAAUUCGUCCAUAUUUUGUCAUAA